UAAUUCAGCCAAAGUUACUGAUACUGACAUUUAAAGUGAUAUAUCCAGAAACUAUAAAAUAUAAUAUCUCAAGUUGUUGCUGUCUUUAUUGUACUUCGAUGAAGUUAGUCAGAUGCCUCAUAUUUCUUCCCUUGCUAUAUCUCUGUGCAUGUGAUUUUGUCAAAGUGAACGAUAAAAUGCCGUCCGACGCUGCCAUGAGCAACUGUGAAGCUAGGGGAAUGGAAUUAGCGAUGAUGUCAACUAAACAGGAAUAUGAAUCUAUUAAAGCCCUGUACGAUGUCCACAAUCCACAUAAAGUGCUGAUUGGUCUACGAUGGAACUCAACUCUACAGAGUUACCAGUGGUAUAAUGGUAAAGUACUAGGUAAUGUCAACUGGGCGUCUGGUGAACCAAGACUCCAAUCGUGUGUAGCAGUACAG